ensembl:lncRNA
GUGGGGAAGACUUUUACUUUGAAAAAUACUCUGACAGUAAGUAAGGUUCAGUUACUCAAGAAACACCUGCCUUCAGGCCGUGUGUGAAGCAUUUCGGGGGCGCAUCAGGUGAGCCGGGGAAGCAGGCUUGGGGAUUGCCCGGCCUUGUAACGUUCCUUCACUGGUCCAGGUGCGCGCCCAGCGCGGAUGGGUACAGAGAGCUUUCCUGCAGAGGCUUCAGUUGGCGGAGGCGACUCACCGUCCUUGCGGGGCGGGCGGAGGGUGUUCAGGAGGGCGGGACGCGGCCGGGGAAGGGGUGCGGGCGGUCACAGGCCCGUCGGUCGGGCGCCCUCUCCCCUGACCUCCGAGUCUCCGCCACAGACACGGCUGAGCUCACCCGCCCUCCCGCCGGCAGGAGGAAGGCGCCCGGAAAACGUCCACUUUGGGGAACUCUGUUUCUGGGGUCCGUCUACCUGAGGGCAGCCUCGGGGUCCGUAAGGGCUCUGUGCCCGACCCCGCUUCCCUCCGACGCGCGCUCGGCCCGCCGGCAGCAGCCGCCUCUCCGCGGUUGGCUCCGCGCUCGCCCGGCCUCCGCGCUGCCGGCCCCGCCCCUCCCCGCGCCGCCCCGGCUCCGCCCCUCCCGGCUCCGCCCCGGCGUCUUCGGGCGGGGAGGGAGACCAGGGCGCGCUUCUGCCCUCCCGGCGUGAGGGCUCUGCGCCGGGCCUCCCAGCGCAGGGGCGGGCCGGCUCCCUGCGGCCGGCGCUGGGGGCCUCGCUGACUGGGUCCCGCCCCUCAGGCCUCUCAGCUUCAGGGAUGUGACAUGAACGCCCUUUGUGGCAACGCAGCUCGCUGUGCCCUCUGGCAGCCCUCUGGCUUCAUCUGACCUGAGCAGGCACACUGGUUCUUCAAGGGGGUCAAACCCUAUGGUUUUCCCAGUAGUCACGUACAGAUGUGAGAGUUGGCCCCUAAAGAAGGCUGAACACUGAAAAUUGAUGCUUUUGAACUGUGGUGCUGGAGAAGACUCUUGAGUCCCUUGUACAGCAAGGAGAUCAAACCAGUCAAUCCUAAAGGAAAUCAACCCUGAAUAUACAUUGGAAGGACUGGUGCUAAAGCUCCAAUACUUUGGCCACCUGAUGGGAAGACCUGACUCAUUGGAAAAAACCCUGAUGCUGCGAAAGACUGAAGGCAGGAGGAGAAGGGGACGAUAGAGGAGGAGAUGGUUGAAUGGCAUCACUGACUUAAUGGACAUGUGUGGGGCCCUAAAUGGGAAACCUUGAAAAAAGAAGGGCUAGCUUUGCGGUUUAGAGCUAAGAUGGCGCCUGGCGGAAGAGAUGAGGGCGUGGCCUAAGUUGUUUGUUAAAACUUUUGAUUGGCGCUCUUGAUUUCCAUGCACGUGGACAGCGGGUGAUCACCAUAGACUGUUGUUACAAUGAAGCGCAUAACGACUUGACCUUUAACGUGAUUGGUGCAACUAUGGCAUAUUACAAUUUGACCUUUAACGUGAUUGGUGCAACCUUCGCAAAACCCCCUUGCUUGCCUAUAUAAACCAAGAGUUUGUGGCAAUAAAGCGGAACUACUUAGACGGAACCCCUGUCGCGUCUGAUUGUCUCUCACUCUCGGAGGGGCUGGGUUGGGGACAGCAGGCUCACCUCUCCUCGGGACCCCUCGGCUUUGCUGAGGGAAGUUCCACUGCCUCUCUUUCUGCGGAGCGCCCCCUGCAGGCAUGGACUUGAGCAAACUCUGGGAGAUGGAGAAGGACAGGGAAGCCUCACAUGCUGCAGUUCACGGGGCUGCAGAGUCAGACAUGACUCAGCAAGUGAUCAAGGGUCAGCAAACUAUGAAUCCUGGUCUGAAUCGAG